rnacentral:rRNA from 1 species
CCUACGGGUAGCAGCAGUGAGGAAUAUUGGUCAAUGGGCGGGAGCCUGAACCAGCCAAGCCGCGUGAGGGAAGAAGGUACAGCGUAUCGUAAACCUCUUUUGUCAGGGAACAAAGGCGGGGACUAGUCCCCGGAUGAGGGUACCUGAAGAAAAAGCAUCGGCUAACUCCGUGCCAGCAGCCGCGGUAAUACGGAGGAUGCGAGCGUUAUCCGGAUUUUUUGGGUUUAAAGGGUGCGCAGACGGCCUGUUAAGUCAGCGGGAAAAGCCCGGGGCUCAACCCCGGCGAGCCGUUGAAACUGGCGGGCUGGAGUUGGAGAGAAGUACGCGGAAUGCGCGGGGUAGCGGUGAAAUGCUUAGAUAUCGCGCAGAACCCCGAUUGCGAAGGCAGCGUACCGGCUCCACACUGACGCUGAGGCACGAAAGCGUGGGUAUCGAACAGGAUUAGAUACCCCUGUAGUC